AAGAGAUGUGUGAGUAGAUUGACAUAUCGCUACGCGCAGGUUUGGGAUCUGUUUAUGUAUUUCAUUUUGGAUUGUUUCACCAUAAGGUUUUUAAGCACCUACUGCCACUGAGGAGAUACCCUUCCGAAGUGUCUGCCCCCAUCACCAUUAAGGAUCCGUUCGCUUCUGCUGAUGUGCCCCUUACUCCUGAAGAGGGCGGCUGCAUUUUAGCCUGGUGUCCUAGCUUUGACCAUUCCACCUUGGGUGACCCUGCUAGGAGACCAGCCUAGCCAGACAUGCUGGCCUCCUGCAUUCAGGAUCCUCUAUUUAGGAUAGUUUAUUUAUUUCUCAGGCCCCCGUUUGGUUUGGGGUUCUCAUGGGAACAAUACUGUUCCUGCUGAAACCCCAAACCAAACGAAGGAUGGGGAAAUGGCUGUGCAACUUUGAGAAGAAGUGAGUUCCACCCAUUAGCUCAUUACCCCUCCUUUAGACCAGUAAAAACUAUUCCCCAGAGGGGGUCUGUUAGGUUUAGAGGCUAUGCACAACAAUGGAGUUUGAAUUUGUAAUAGUAAUAUUUUAAGUUACUGGAGAUGGGUGAGGGUUGUCCCACCUCUCAUUUAAAAAUCAAGAUCAAAUUGUUGCUGAAAAGCAGUCUCAUGAUUGCUGUUAAACAUUUAUAAAGCACCAAAAUUGAGUAAGAGCUGGACGCUGAUUAAAAGCAAACACAGACUCCCAUCCCACAGGUUUUCAAUCUAAAAUGCAUCACAUGCAUGUUGAAACAAUCUGUGAAAGGUAUGUAUGGGCUAGUCUGCCUUCACACCUGGUGGCCACUACUCCCCCAGGAACUUAGUGCUCUUUGUGCACAUGCUGUAUGUAUGGAGAAAUCCUCCAUGUGAGGGCAGAUCCUGGCCAAUCAGGUUCCCUUCUCUCAUGGUGACACUCUAUAUGUAUACCUCAGUAUGUGCAGAACCCAGUCUUAGGUUCUUUGCAUAUGUAUGUAAGGCUGACCACUGGGCACAUUGGCAGUGAAGGCCAGCCUAGCGUGCAGAGCCCCACGGU